UAGGGAAUCUUCCACAAUGGACGCAAGUCUGAUGGAGCAACGCCGCGUGAGUGAAGAAGGUUUUCGGAUCGUAAAGCUCUGUCGUUGGUGAAGAAGGAGAGAGGCAGUAACUGGUCUUUAUUUGACGGUAAUCAACCAGAAAGUCACGGCUAACUACGUGCCAGCAGCCGCGGUAAUACGUAGGUGGCAAGCGUUGUCCGGAUUUAUUGGUCGUAAAGCGAGCGCAGGCGGAAUGAUAAGUCUGAUGUGAAAGCCCACGGCUCAACCGAGGAACUGCAGCGGAAACUGUCAUUCUUGAGUUCAGAAGAGGAGGGUGGAAUUCCAUGUGUAGCGGUAGAAUGCGUAGGUAUAUGGAAGAACACCAGUGGCGGAGGCGGCUCUCUGGUCUGCAACUGACGCUGAGGCUCGAAAGCAUGGGUAGCGAACAGG
rnacentral:rRNA from 1 species